rnacentral:lncRNA from 10 species
CUGUCUCAACCUUGGGUUUCAUUUAACGGAUGAUUGCUCUUCCUAUCACCAUUUAACCCAGUGGAAAACUGAAAAGUAUCUUCCGAAAGGAUUGAGGCUCUGAAAGGCAGAGGGCGCGGCAGGGAGCAGAUGGGAGCGCCCGGGGUCCCUAACCACCUACACCUGUACCUGUGACGCGUUUAGUUAAGUUGCAAGUCAAGCGCAUGCGCCAUUUGGGGCAUGAGUUUUUAGCAGAGGGGUAGUCAGUUUCGCAUUAUUAAUAAUAAAAUUCUUCAAAAUUUUUAAAUGCACUGAGCACCUGCUACGUGUUGCGUUUCCUAUUGGGGGCUUCGCAGCCGUUUUUUCCGUGCAAAGUGGGAGCAUUUCAGAGAUGUAAUGGAAAGGUUUUCAUUAAAAGAGGUGUCAGGCGAGAGGCGGAGGUUGCAGUUAGCCGAGAUCGCGCCACUGCUCUCCAGCCUGGCGACAGAGCGAGAUUCCGUCUCAAAAAAAUUUUUAAAAAUUUUAAAAAUUAAAGAGGGGUUAGGCUGCUUG